CUGAAAUCUAUGGAGCGGUCUUGCUUGAAGAGCAGGAAGAUGAAGCGAUGGUAGCCGGUUCCCAUGGCAGGGAAGGGGGGCAAGUAAUGGCAUAUCUCCUUGCCCGACUUGAUGUCAUUGCCUGGAAUGUUUGUCACCAGCCAGUGGAGGUACUCCGAAUCAGUGUCUCUUAAAUGUCCAUCUGGAUUUGUGAGCAACAAAGUCCAGAGAGAGUCUUUAUCUGCCUCAUAUGACACUUCAGGGGGAUUGGAAGCCUCUGAUGGAGUCACUAUGUUCCCGGAGUAGACUGGCACCAGGUGCUCAUCUUCCUGGUUGUAUCCCACCCUCAAGCUAACCCAGGGGGUGAAGGUGGCCCCCUGGAACAAGUCACGAAAUAUCCCAUAGUGCUCUGCCAGGCGCUGCUUGUGGAAAGGGCCGCUGGUCUUCUCCCAUUCUGCUCUGACCUCAUCGAGAGGGAUCAGUGCAGUCCGGAGCCGUGCUGCUCUCUCCAUCUCGGUGUUCUGGUGGUUCUGCUUCAGGAUUCUUUUCCUUUCCUUGAGUUCUCUCACCCUCAGCACCUUAUCACGCGGCAGGCUGAUGUCAGUCUUCGGCUCUGGCUCGGGGUUCGUGUACUGCCGGUACGUUUUCCACCACCGCGGCUUCCUGCUCUCCUUCUCCGCCAGUUUGAAGUACCGAGUGAAACUGCGGUAUUUUUCCAGCGUUUCCAAAUUGCUGACAUCGAUAUCCUCGUUCGGCAUCGGGCCCAGAGGGGCCGCCCGUUUGCGGAGAGCAGCCGCGGUGCCGAAGGCCCGCCCGCUCCAGGCGCCGCGCAGCGCCGCGCUC
rnacentral:lncRNA from 1 species